UUCUUGUCUCACUGCACAGGAAUGUUUAGUAAAUACCUACUCAGUACAACGUACUUUGCCAUAUUCUCCACAACUAUCAACAAAAGAACAAGUAGCCAGUCAUCAGAGCACAGGAAGAAACACUAAAAGAUGAGGAACCACUGGUGAUUACAGCACUAACGCUGAUCACAUUGCUAUAGUUAAGAUUAUGUCACCACUUUAAAUGGGAAAAUAUUUUCACGAGGCUUUAACUUGCCUAGAAAAAUUACUCAGAAUCACAGGUUGGUGUUGUAGUCCUCAGACCCUAAAGACCAUCUUGGAGCUGACUACUGGCUCAAACAUGGGCUGAUAUUUAAACAGGAUCUUACCUUCCUUAUGCAGUUUUUCACAGGGAAAAAAAAAAGGGGGGGUUAACAGUGUCAUACAGAAGAAUGGUUUCAAAACCAGAAUGCAAUGGAUCUUAAAAAAAAAUCAGAUUCAGGAACAAGCUAUAUGCAAGUUAAAUCAGCAUUAAGCAGAUGCCCCAAGUUCUGCUAUUUUCCACAGAAAAUCAUGUGGAGUAGAGUCGAGAAAGCCUUUAAAUGAAUAAAUUAUAGAGGGUUUUGCAUUUUGAAGUGUAUUGCUUAGUGUAAGAGGGUAAAAUAAGCAAUUUGGCUUACCAAAUAAGGAUUAAACUAUCAAUCCAAAUAGUAUUUUCCCUGUAAAGCAAUUUAUUGCUGAUGAGCACUGAAAAAUUACUGCACAGAAAAUCACUUAAUAAAGCUUAAACAUUAUCUGAUUAUCAUUUGAUUGUUUAAGAAAAGUCAAACACGGUGCAAGAUUUUUUUGUAGUUGGAUUUUUUUUCCUAAAAACAUUUGAUGCAUUGGAUGUGAAACGUUUGCAACUCUGGUAGAUCAAUUAUGGCUAUUAUCCUUAAAUCAGAACCUAACCCAUUAUUAGUGCACAAAUAAAAUACAGAAGUUUGUCCAUGAAUCAAUGCUCAAUCUUUAAAAACUAACGUAAAUAACAGCGGAAGGAGAUUUCUCUCUAGUGACUUAGUUUACUAGAGAUGCUUUAAACGAUUCUUAGGUUCAUUAAUUGUGUUUGCAAUCCAUAAGGAAAGAUACAAGACACAAACCCAAAAUGUAUAGC